UACGUAGGGUGCAAGCGUUGUCCGGAUUCAUUGGGCGUAAAGAGCUCGUAGGCGGCUUUGUAAGUCGGGUGUGAAAACCCCAGGCUCAACCUGGGGACGCCACUCGAUACUGCAAUAGCUAGAGUCUGGUAGGGGAUCACGGAAUUCCUGGUGUAGCGGUGAAAUGCGCAGAUAUCAGGAGGAACACCGGUGGCGAAGGCGGCAUCCUGGACCAACACUGACGCUGAGUGAGCGAAAGCCAGGGGAGCAAACGGG
rnacentral:rRNA from 1 species